GAAAUUUCUGCAAAGGGAAACUUUCAAAUUUUGAAAGGACUACAUUGUUGGAAAGCAAGAUAGUUGUUUUAUCAGCUGUUGUAGAAUUUUCGGCUGAGCUUUCCGUAUUGUCGAGUUAGACGGGUUUGUUUAUGGUGAUACGUGCAGCUUGGCCAAUGGAUGUUGCCAACCUUGUCUCCUUUCCCCUCCUCCGCCGCGUCGCCGUGAAU